rnacentral:rRNA from 1 species
UACAGAGGUCCCAAGCGUUGUUCGGAUUCACUGGGCUUAAAGGGCGCGUAGGCGGACAAUCAAGUCAGGGGUGAAAGCCUCCAGCUCAACUGGAGAAGUGCCUUUGAUACUGACUGUCUCGAGGGAGGUAGGGGCAUGUGGAACUUCCGGUGGAGCGGUGAAAUGCGUAGAUAUCGGAAGGAACGCCGGUGGCGAAAGCGACGUGCUGGACCUCUUCUGACGCUGAGGCGCGAAAGCUAGGGGAGCAAACGGG